GGAAUCUUCCACAAUGGACGAAAGUCUGAUGGAGCAACGCCGCGUGAGUGAAGAAGGGUUUCGGCUCGUAAAACUCUGUUGUUAAAGAAGAACAUAUCUGAGAGUAACUGUUCAGGUAUUGACGAUAUUUAACCAGAAAGCCACGGCUAACUACGUGCCAGCAGCCGCGGUAAUACGUAGGUCCCGAGCGUUGUCCGGAUUUAUUGGGCGUAAAGCGAGCGCAGGCGGUUUAAUAAGUCUGAAGUUAAAGGCAGUGGCUUAACCAUUGUUCGCUUUGGAAACUGUUAGACUUGAGUGCAGAAGGGGAGAGUGGAAUUCCAUGUGUAGCGGUGAAAUGCGUAGAUAUAUGGAGGAACACCGGUGGCGAAAGCGGCUCUCUGGUCUGUAACUGACGCUGAGGCUCGAAAGCGUGGGGAGCAAACA
rnacentral:rRNA from 1 species